rnacentral:rRNA from 1 species
AUCCAUGGCCAUAGGACUUUGAAAGCAUUGCAUCCUGUCCAAUCUGUGCAGUUAACCAAAGGGCUGCCUAGUUAGUAUCAUGGUGGGGGACCAUAUGGGAAUCCUAGGUGCUGUGGUUU